rnacentral:lncRNA from 1 species
CACUGGUUGAUGCUCCUUGGGAAUGUUAACUCCUUGGCACUCAGCCAGCCCACAUGCAGCCUGAAGACCCCUGCUCUGGCAGGGGUCUGGACUGGGAGUUUGGGUGGCCAUGGAGAUGAAGAAAUGCACUUAAUAUGGCAAAAUAUUGGAACUUUCUGGACAUUCUGAUGAUUCACAGGGGACACAAAGAACAGAUUUUUACUAUCAUAGUGCCCUUACACCCCCUGCUUUGCAGGAACUCCUUAUGGAAUGGAAGCACAUCCAGGCUGAAGGCCCCUGUGUUCCAGAUGCUGUGUGAGUGUUGACCUGCCAGGCGACUCCACGAUGGCUUCCGUCCUCAGGUUCACCAUCAACUAAGACAGACUGAAGAUCUGCCUGACAUCCUGGUUCAGUUCCAGAGACUUGGACCACUGCUCCCUAGUUCCAGGGGGUGGCACAGGAGCCAAAAACGAGACCUGAGGCUGAAGCCCAACAGAAGAUGAAACUUGGGAGCAGCCUCAGCUUCGGGAAUCCUCACUUCCUGGCACAGCAGGUUUGGGUGCCACAGAGCCCAGGGCUAGACACCUGCCAGCAGUCCAUCAGUCACAGUCUCAGAUGAGUGGCAUCAAGGUGGAGCCCACUGAGGUGAAGGAAGGAGCUGUGAGGGACACCUGCAUCCUGCUGCAGAAAUGUCUGCCCCCCGCCUUGUCCCACCGCAGCUCUAUCUCACAGUUGGAGAAGCAGAAGCAAAGCAACCUGUCCUGGACCAUGCAGCCUGGUCCUCUGUUUCCAGAGCCAGAGGUCUUUGUGCUCUGAAACAAAGACAGUGACCCCAUUAACCCACUGGCACUUACUGUGUGCCAGGCACUCAGCCUGUGUUGUCUCAUUGCAGCACAGAGCAGCCCUGGGAAUGGAAGCAGUGUCAUCAUUCCCAUUUUUCAGGUGAGGCACAGGCUCAGAAAGGUCAAGAAACUUGCUCACGGUCUCACAGCUGGUGAGUAGGUUGUCAGACUCCAAAGAUGUGUGCUGCUAACCCUGCCCAAAGGGACUUCAUCCUCCUCCCUCCUUCCCAGGCAGUUCUCCCAACCACCCACCAACAGGCAACGUAGGUGUGAUUGCCUUCAAAGUUUUCUACUUGCCUUCAAGCUUGAAGCACUGGAGACUGAGGGAAGAGAGCACUGGAAGUGGAGGAAGAAAAAAGAGCUGUUCCCUCCAAGGUUGUUCCCUUGGGCCUGACUCGACUGGAAGAAGCAGGGUGUAUAUGUGUGUGUGUGUGUAAUUGACUUUGUGACCAUGAAACUGAGUUAAUACUCUUCUGUCUUUGCCUGUUUCUUCUUGUACAUCACCUAGAGGAAUACCCAUUAAUGUUUAGAGGCAGAGAACAAUAGAAAAUAGCACUGUUCAAGGACCAAAAAUUUAAAAAGACUGCUGACAUACAGCAUAGAAUGUGAAAGUCCCUGAUAAUCUUAUCCCUAGGGAUAACCACUUGCCAUUUUUUUACAAUUUCAAUUUUUUAUGAUUAUAAAAGUCAUACACAUUUAAAAAUACUUCAAAAUAAAUACAAAAUAAAAAUAAAUGCUUCAUUGCUUAGGUUACCUUGGUACAUGCAAGGUCUGAGACCACAUCCAUCAAUGCAGUUUGCUGCGUGGAUUACCAGAUCUCUCCAACAUUGACCUCAAUUUUUUACUCUGAGAGCAAACAGAAUGGGCAAGGGCUGACCUGAAAUCCUUUUGAAACACAAGCUGGAUCCUAGGGCUUUGACCUCCACUGCUCACUGCCACAUGGGAUCCGUCUCUGUGCCCCACUCUGCCCCAGCCCCACUGGCCUUCCUGCUGCUGCUCACACAGGCCUACUCUUAAGGCCUUUGCAUACUCUGUUCCCUGCAGAGGCCUCUGCCUCUGAACAAAUGUGGGACCCAUCUCUGCCAAGGCUGGGAAGCAAACAGCCCCCACUUUGCCUUGUCAGCCUGUGUUUGCACCAUUCCUGUGGUGGCCUCUCCCAGCUGCUUUCACGUGGGAUUUGAGCUCUGGGAAGCUGGAAGUUUGUGGAGUCCACUUCCCUCAUUUUGCAUAUAUGGAUGAUAAAGCCCACAGGCAAGGGCUCUGACAAAAGGAAAGAUUCCUUCCAUUUGGCAUUGUGAUGCAGAGGCUGUCACAGACAAGCCUGGGAAUUUGGGAUACAUCUUGCUGAGCCUAGAGACAGAAAAGAGCUUCUAGGCUGCCUUCCCUGAGCCCCGGGCCAGGCCCCUCCAGGACACACUUGCAUGGCACCCUGUUCUUUAAAACACUGCACACCAACGACUAUGCAAAGGAUUAACUGACUUCUCAAUAUUCUUGUUUUCUACCGAGUGAUAAGCUUCAGAAGGACAAGGUAUGAGUCCGUUUUGCUCUUUUGCCUUCCCCAGCACAUGGCACAAUGCCCAGCACAUAGUGUUUUGAGAGACAGCUGACUGGCUGUCUCAUACAAGGCCCUGCUCUGUUGGGCACAAGGGCUGCUUAACACAUUCCUAUGCUACAAAAGACAGUGCUCCUCUCCAGGAACCACCAAAUAAAUUCAGAUACUAAUGCCAAAAAGAAGGCAGCAUCAGCUUGGGAAAAGAGUGCCUUUAAGGCACUGUUUCUCUCUAUGAAGGCAGUGUGGAAUGAUAGGGAUGAUCUAGGACCUAGAGGAGAGACCUUAAGUCUUACUUGCAGCCAAAAGCCUUCAAACCUGAGCUAGCCAGAACUGUUACAUCAGAAUUCUCACCCAUGACAAGAAGCCUGGAGGGAGUCCAGGGUUGAUGGAUUGACUUAAGGUGUCAUCAAAAGCUUAGACUUUACCCUUCUGCUGCACCACCCUUAUUGCCUUGUUGUCACAAGAGGACUACUGCUGUUCAAGUCAUCACUUCCACAUUCCAGAAGGAAGAAAGGAGAGGUAGAGGGCCAGAAGUAUCCCCUCCUUUUAUCAGGAGCCAUUAACUUUCCCAGAAACUUCCAUGUCCACCCAGCAGACCUCCACUUACAUCUCACUAGGCAGAACUCCUAUCACUUGGCCACCCCAGCAGUCAGGGAAGCUGGAAGGGUGAGCAUUCAGCUAUAGAGAGUGGAAGCACAAGCAGCAAGGGAAGAACAGGUCAGUAAUUGCUGUAGAGUUUCCUGCCCAGCAGCAUCUGCCAAAACUAGGUAAAUUAUUUUUUAACAUAAUAGUAUUUUUGUGGAUUUUCUUACAAAAGCAAUGCAUAUAUAUUGUUACUUUGAAAAAUAAAGAUUUUAAAUCUUCAACAAGCCCAUUACUCAGGAGUGAUGACUGUUAUUCUUGGUUUAUUAGCUUUCUAGAUCUUUGUAUUUUUUUUAACGUGGGUAGAACCACAAUAUGGGUUGCUCUGAAAUUAGCCUUUACACUUGGCAUUGUGAAAAAUCUUUCCAAAUCAUUAAAUGUUCUCUGCAGAAUUACAUUUUAUGUAUUUGUGUUUUAUUGAAUAAGGCACAUAAUUUGUUUAUUCAGUCUCUUGGUGUUCGGCAUGUUUAUAACAGUAAAAUGUGAG